UAAGUUACUAGUUGAUUAUUGAUAACCUUGAGAAUUAGUUUGGUGGUUAGGCAAUUUAGUUAGUAAUAGUAGAUUGUUAGUGGAAUAAAUGGUUAAGAAUUCAAAGGGUCAUAAUCUUUGGAAUCCGGUGGCCGAUAGAUCAUCUUUUUGGUAGUAUAAAUAGGUUGAGAAAAGAGAGAUGAAGGCCAGACUGUGAGAGUCGUAAGUCAAGGGCCAGACUGUGAGAGUCGUAAGUUGAGGGCCAGAUUAUGAGAGUCAUAAGCCAAGGGCGAGAUUGUAAGAGUCGUAAGUCGAGAGUCAGACUGUGUGAGUCGUAAGUCAAGGUAAGCUUAGUACUACCUCUUUGUUUUCUUUGCUUUUAUUAUUUGCUUAUGAAGAAUUGUGAUUGAGAGAAGUAUUAUUGAAUUGAUAGUCGUAGAAUGGAUUAUGUGUUGAAUCAAGAUGGAAGUAGUAAGCCUUUGUAUUUUGUAGUUUGAUAAUUGAUUUGAGAUAGCCAGAGUACAGUCAAUUGUGAUACUAACAGACCCAAUUCAUAUAACUAGUCUUUCCUUGUGUUCGAACCCACCUCUAUUAGUUCAAUUGCUUUGAAAUACUGAAGCUUGAAUACAACGAGAAUAACAAAUAUUAAGCAAUGGAAGAUAUGCUUGUUGAUUUAUUGACAAAAGUAUUAGUAAAAAUAGACAUCACAUAUUAACAAAGGUAUUAGUAUUAAAAACCUUUAACUAAUAAUAAAGUAGAAGUAUUAAAAUAAAUAAAUAAAGAUAAAAAUAAAAUAACUUAUAUUAUAGAAGAUAUUACUUUAAAUAAGUUGUUAUUGGUCAAAGGAUUGGCUCUUGAUAUAUAAGAAGGCCAAAAA
rnacentral:lncRNA from 1 species